GUAAUCCGGGUUGCGGACAGUGUCUGGUGGGUAGUUUGACUGGGGCGGUCUCCUCCUAAAGAGUAACGGAGGAGCACGAAGGUUGGCUAAUCCUGGUCGGACAUCAGGAGGUUAGUGCAAUGGCAUAAGCCAGCUUGACUGCGAGCGUGACGGCGCGAGCAGGUGCGAAAGCAGGUCAUAGUGAUCCGGUGGUUCUGAAUGGAAGGGCCAUCGCUCAACGGAUAAAAGGUACUCCGGGGAUAACAGGCUGAUACCGCCCAAGAGUUCAUAUCGACGGCGGUGUUUGGCACCUCGAUGUCGGCUCAUCACAUCCUGGGGCUGAAGUAGGUCCCAAGGGUAUGGCUGUUCGCCAUUUAAAGUGGUACGCGAGCUGGGUUUAGAACGUCGUGAGACAGUUCGGUCCCUAUCUGCCGUGGGCGCUGGAGAACUGAGGGGGGCUGCUCCUAGUACGAGAGGACCGGAGUGGACGCAUCACUGGUGUUCGGGUUGUCAUGCCAAUGGCACUGCCCGGUAGCUAAAUGCGGAAGAGAUAAGUGCUGAAAGCAUCUAAGCACGAAACUUGCCCCGAGAUGAGUUCUCCCUGACCCUUUAAGGGUCCUGAAGGAACGUUGAAGACGACGACGUUGAUAGGCCGGGUGUGUAAGCGCAGCGAUGCGUUGAGCUAACCGGUACUAAUGAACCGUGAG
rnacentral:rRNA from 1 species